CCUCACGCGACCCCCAUCCCCCGAUAUCUCUCCCUCUGUGAAACCCCUCAGCUGCCAACCCUCUUGCUCGUUAACCGCUCUACACCGCGUGCCACUCGCUGUUCCCCCUCCUUUGUGCCACCACUCGUCCCUUCACCCAGCAGUUCGCACUGACGUUCGCCUCCAGCCGGCUCCCCCUCCCCCCGCCUUCGCCCACGCCGCCCACACCCUCUGUUCUCUGCCACUCGCUACACGUUCGUACCACUACUUGACGAGCAGAUUAGCUGUCGCCACCGGUCGAUCUCUCUCUCUCUCCCUCUCGCCACCAACAAAUCAACUUAAAUCCAAUCGCCGAUCUCUUUCUCUCGCAGCGGUCUAUCCAUCCGGCCACCACGGUUCGCCACCGCUGCUGGUUUGCCGCAGAUUUCGAUACCACUAUUUUGUCGAAUUUUGGAUUUGGGGAUGAGAUUUGGAUGGAAGAGUGUUGCUGUCCGUUUUGUUCGAGACAAGAGCGGGUUCCAAGUCGCCAUCUGUUAGAAUUAGAAUCUUAUUAAAGGGAGAUUUUGGAGUUGAAAUCUUGGGAGUAUUUGUUGAUCAAGCUUCGUUUGGGGAAUUAAUUCAGGAUUUAUUUUAUUGGAGACUAUUUUCUUGGAUUAACAUCUGAAUUAAAAUUCGAGGUAAGUAAUCUUACUACUGGAACUACCUAUGUGCCAUGCGAUGAAAUUUCAGCUUUCGUUUGAGGAUUUUGAGGUUGGUUGUAUUGAAUUACAUGAGGUUAAUUGAGUUUCCCUGAUUAUAUAUGCAAAAUGUUAUGAAUGCUAGCGUGGACUAUGUGAUAAUUAUUUAUUUGAUUGGUUGGAUGAACUGUGAACAUUAUGAUUGUAUUUGCAUGUUGUGGGACUAUGUUUAUGACGCAUGUUAUAUUUAUGUUAGUGCUAGUUGCACUUACCACUAGUUAGAUACCUAUUAGAGGUGAUGACUUCCUACGGGAUUCACUAAAGGCUUGUGUUCCCUUCGGGAUUCACCAGAGGUUAUGUUUCCUUCGAGAUUCACCAGAGGUUGUGUUUCCUUCGAGAUUCAUCAGAGGUUAUGUUUCCUUCGAGAUUCACUAGAGACUGUGUUUCCUAUGGAAUUCACCAGAAGUGGUGAGCUCCUUCGGGACGUCACCCGAGUUUUGUGUUUCCUUCGGGAUUCACCAGAGGUUGUGGGUACUUUUAAACUACGGUAGGGU